AAAUAUUCAAACUUUCAAUUUGCCGGCCAAAACACUUAGUCAAAUUUUGCUUCUUUUCAUUUCUCUCACAAAAAACACUCUCCACAAACUAACUCUCUGCAAAUUAUCUCUAUGCCAAGUAGGGACGUUAAGACGGAGCUUUUUGUAGAUGGCGCAAGACGAUUGCAGAUGGGUAAAGGAAACCUAGAAAAUAAUAGACCGUCGAGGUACUAAAUGAGACUUUCUUCCACUUUCUUUCCUUUCGCUCUUUCUGGCUCCCGUGACCAGUUAAAGUAAGGAAGAAUUAGCCACGGGAACUAUGAAAAGGGUUCCAGACUCUCCUUUCUAAGAGUAUCCCACCUUUCCUAGCAUGGGGAGCGAUUACAACCAGGAGGAGAAAGCCACAGCCGAAUCCUUGAUUUGAAAAGUAUGCCUGAGUUGGACUGGACAAGGUCGAGACUGAUAAUGGGGAAGGCAGAGCUGAUGAGGCUGAUAUUGAAUGACAAGGAUGGUCACUUCCAAAAGCCUCCACAGAACCCUCUUGUGGACCUUUUAACCCUGGGAGUCUCAACCUUGGAAGGUGAGAAAUGGGCCAAGUGUAGAAGGUUAAUUACUCCUGCAUUCCACCAUGAGAAGCUGCAGGGAAUGGUGCCAGAGUUUUUAGCAAGUUGCUGCAACCUGAUUGAUCGAUGGAAGAUGUUGAUUGCAUCCGAUGGAUGGACUGAAAUUGAUAUCAAUCCUGAACUGCAGAGCCUUUCUACAGAUGUGAUUUCUAGAGCAGCCUUUGGAAGCAGCUAUAAAGAAGGGAAGAAGAUAUUUGAGCUUCAAAAAAAGCAAGCAGUGCUGGAUACAUGUUGUCAAGCCAGUGAAAGAGAGUAGCCUAGUUUAUUCAGAAUUUUUUUUUUAAAAACCAAAUGAUUCAAUCAUUCCUUUCUUGUUCGGUUGUUUUUAUUGUUUUGUAGUAAAUUCCUUUCAAGUUUCUGUUUCUGUUCCUAAUAACUGGCAAUAAUCUUCUGGUGACUAGUUGGAGCUUCUGUCCUUCUUGAUCGUUGAGCUGUGCCUCGUCGAGUAUGAAAUGCUUAGAUUCCCCCGUCUCUCUUAGCAAUGGUAGCAAUCUUUACUGCACAAUGCUCUGUCAAUGGGUUCAAGAAGUGGACUAAGACAUGCGAGAGGCACAAAAACUACACUAAAGAUCAGCUUUUGUGGAACCAGCUGAAGAUUGAUGGGGUAUUCAUGGUUAUGAUUGAAGGCUCUCAUUUCAUUGGAAAGUUUGGAAGCUAUUGCAAGUUCUUUCUACUUGUUAGGGAAGAGAAUAUUUUAGUUUGUGCACAUAAGGAUCUUUUAGUUUGUGCACAAGAAAAUCUUUCAAGUUUGUACUUGUUAGGGAUUUGUUAUGUUAGUACUUGUUAUUGACUUUUAGUUCCAUAAAUUAUAUUUGAGCAUUGACUUUUGUUUUUAGAUUACUA